AACGCACAUUGCGCCCGUUAGUAUUCUAGUAGGCAUGCCUGUUCGAGCGUCAUUUCAACCCUCAAGUCUGCCGUGACUUGGUGUUAGGAACCUAAACGCCCCGGCGUCUUAGGCCCUGAAAGCUAUUGGCGAGCUAUUCAUAGGCUCCGAGCGCAGUAAAAAUACCUCGCUUAGGGCGCCAUGCGUGUGCUAGCCUACACCCCCCAACUAUCAGAAGUUUGACCUCGGAUCAGGUAGGAAUACCCGCUGAACUUAA
rnacentral:misc_RNA from 1 species